GUCCUCGUAGCUUAGAAUAAAGCAUGGCACUGAAGAUGCCAAGACGGCCGCUCAACACACCCGAGGACA
rnacentral:tRNA from 1 species